rnacentral:rRNA from 1 species
CCUACGGGUGGCAGCAGUGGGGAAUUGUGCGCAAUGCUCGUAAGAGUGACGCAGCGACGCCGCGUGAAUGACGAAGGCCUUCGGGUCGUAAAGUUCUUUCGACAGGGAAGAAAAUGCCUAUAAGUAACUGUGUAUGUAUUGACGGUACCUGUAUAAGCAGCCCCGGCUAACUCCGUGCCAGCAGCCGCGGUAAUACAGAGGGGGCGAGCGUUGUUCGGAGUGACUGGGCGUAAAGAGCACGUAGGCGGUGUUGUAAGUCAUUAGUCAAAGACUAGAGCUCAACUUUAGUAAGGCUAGUGAUACUAUAAUACUAGAGUAUCAGAGAGGAUUGCAGAAUUCCUGGUGUAGCGGUGAAAUGCGUAGAUAUCAGGAGGAAUACCGUUAGCGAAGGCGGCAAUCUGGUCUGCAACUGACGCUGAGGCUCGAAAGCAUGGGUAGCGAACAGGAUUAGAUGCCCUGGUAGUC